UACGGGGGGGGUAAGCGUUGUUCGGAAUUACUGGGCGUAAAGGGCUCGUAGGCGGCCAACUAAGUCAUACGUGAAAUCCCUCAGCUUAACUGGGGAACUGCGUGUGAUACUGGAUGGCUUGGAUUUGGGAGAGGGAUGCGGAAUUCCAGGUGUAGCGGUGAAAUGCGUAGAUAUCUGGAGGAACACCGGUGGCGAAGGCGGCCACCUGGACGAUUACUGACGCUGAGGCACGAAAGCGUGGGGAUCAAACAGG
rnacentral:rRNA from 1 species